UUUUAUUAAUAGUAAUAGUGUUUUCAUUUUAGUCUUGUUUUAUAUAUUUUUUUUUUAAAAGAUAAAUUUAGGUAAAAGAAAAAAGUGGAACUUUGAGAGUGCAUGAGAGAAAGUGUAUUGACUCUGCUUCUUUUCAUUUUUCGUUUUCUACUUAUUCAUUAUGUUCUUUUUUUUUGUUUUUCAUGACAUGUGUCAAAAUACUUGUAGCGGUAAAUUCAUGACCAUCAAGUUAUGGAUAAGCUUGACGUCAGUAAAACCAG
rnacentral:lncRNA from 1 species